CCCGGAGGAAGAGAAAGAAAAUUCGAUUCCCUUAGUAGCGGCGAGCGAAACGGGAAGAGCCCAAACCAACAAGCUUGCUUGUUGGGGUUGUAGGACACUCUAUACGGAGUUACAAAGGACGACAUUAGACGAAUCAUCUGGAAAGAUGAAUCAAAGAAGGUAAUAAUCCUGUAGUCGAAAAUGUUGUCUCUCUUGAGUGGAUCCUGAGUACGACGGAGCACGUGAAAUUCCGUCGGAAUCUGGGAGGACCAUCUCCUAAGGCUAAAUACUCUCUAGUGACCGAUAGUGAACCAGUACCGUGAGGGAAAGGUGAAAAGCACCCCGGAAGGGGAGUGAAAUAGAACCUGAAACCGUGUGCUUACAAGUAGUCAGAGCCCGUUAAUGGGUGAUGGCGUGCCUUUUGUAGAAUGAACCGGCGAGUUACGAUUUGAUGCAAGGUUAAGCAGUAAAUGUGGAGCCGUAGCGAAAGCGAGUCUGAAUAGGGCGUUUAGUAUUUGGUCGUAGACCCGAAACCAGGUGAUCUACCCUUGGUCAGGUUGAAGUUCAGGUAACACUGAAUGGAGGACCGAACCGACUUACGUUGAAAAGUGAGCGGAUGAACUGAGGGUAGCGGAGAAAUUCCAAUCGAACCUGGAGAUAGCUGGUUCUCUCCGAAAUAGCUUUAGGGCUAGCCUCAAGUGAUGAUUAUUGGAGGUAGAGCACUGUUUGGACGAGGGGCCCCUCUCGGGUUACCGAAUUCAGACAAACUCCGAAUGCCAAUUAAUUUAACUUGGGAGUCAGAACAUGGGUGAUAAGGUCCGUGUUCGAAAGGGAAACAGCCCAGACCACCAGCUAAGGUCCCAAAAUAUAUGUUAAGUGGAAAAGGAUGUGGCGUUGCCCAGACAACUAGGAUGUUGGCUUAGAAGCAGCCAUCAUUUAAAGAGUGCGUAAUAGCUCACUAGUCGAGUGACACUGCGCCGAAAAUGUACCGGGGCUAAACAUAUUACCGAAGCUGUGGAUUGUCCUUUGGACAAUGGUAGGAGAGCGUUCUAAGGGCGUUGAAGCAUGAUCGUAAGGACAUGUGGAGCGCUUAGAAGUGAGAAUGCCGGUGUGAGUAGCGAAAGACGGGUGAGAAUCCCGUCCACCGAUUGACUAAGGUUUCCAGAGGAAGGCUCGUCCGCUCUGGGUUAGUCGGGUCCUAAGCUGAGGCCGACAGGCGUAGGCGAUGGAUAACAGGUUGAUAUUCCUGUACCACCUAUAAUCGUUUUAAUCGAUGGGGGGACGCAGUAGGAUAGGCGAAGCGUGCGAUUGGAUUGCACGUCUAAGCAGUAAGGCUGAGUAUUAGGCAAAUCCGGUACUCGUUAAGGCUGAGCUGUGAUGGGGAGAAGACAUUGUGUCUUCGAGUCGUUGAUUUCACACUGCCGAGAAAAGCCUCUAGAUAGAAAAUAGGUGCCCGUACCGCAAACCGACACAGGUAGUCAAGAUGAGAAUUCUAAGGUGAGCGAGCGAACUCUCGUUAAGGAACUCGGCAAAAUGACCCCGUAACUUCGGGAGAAGGGGUGCUCUUUAGGGUUAACGCCCAGAAGAGCCGCAGUGAAUAGGCCCAAGCGACUGUUUAUCAAAAACACAGGUCUCUGCUAAACCGUAAGGUGAUGUAUAGGGGCUGACGCCUGCCCGGUGCUGGAAGGUUAAGAGGAGUGGUUAGCUUCUGCGAAGCUACGAAUCGAAGCCCCAGUAAACGGCGGCCGUAACUAUAACGGUCCUAAGGUAGCGAAAUUCCUUGUCGGGUAAGUUCCGACCCGCACGAAAGGCGUAACGAUUUGGGCACUGUCUCAACGAGAGACUCGGUGAAAUCAUAGUACCUGUGAAGAUGCAGGUUACCCGCGACAGGACGGAAAGACCCCGUGGAGCUUUACUGUAGCCUGAUAUUGAAAUUCGGCACAGCUUGUACAGGAUAGGUAGGAGCCUUUGAAACGUGAGCGCUAGCUUACGUGGAGGCGCUGGUGGGAUACUACCCUAGCUGUGUUGGCUUUCUAACCCGCACCACUUAUCGUGGUGGGAGACAGUGUCAGGCGGGCAGUUUGACUGGGGCGGUCGCCUCCUAAAAGGUAACGGAGGCGCUCAAAGGUUCCCUCAGAAUGGUUGGAAAUCAUUCAUAGAGUG
rnacentral:rRNA from 1 species